CCUACGGGUGGCAGCAGUGAGGAAUAUUGGUCAAUGGCCGCAGGGCUGAACCAGCCAAGUCGCGUGAGGGAUGACGGUCCUAUGGAUUGUAAACCUCUUUUGUCAGGGAGCAAAGGGCGCCACGUGUGGCGUUUUGCGAGUACCUGAAGAAAAAGCAUCGGCUAACUCCGUGCCAGCAGCCGCGGUAAUACGGAGGAUGCGAGCGUUAUCCGGAUUUAUUGGGUUUAAAGGGUGCGUAGGCGGAAGGUUAAGUCAGCGGUAAAAUGUCGGUGCUCAACACCGGCCUGCCGUUGAAACUGGUCUUCUUGAGUGAGCGAGAAGUAUGCGGAAUGCGUGGUGUAGCGGUGAAAUGCAUAGAUAUCACGCAGAACUCCGAUUGCGAAGGCAGCAUACCGGCGCUCAACUGACGCUGAGGCACGAAGGCGUGGGGAUCGAACAGGAUUAGAUACCCUAGUAGUC
rnacentral:rRNA from 1 species